GACUGUCUCUACUCCCCUGACUGGUACUAUUGACAUGAGGUCUCUACUCACCAUGACUGCUACCUAUUGACAUGAGGUCUCUACUCACCCUGACUGGUACCUAUUGGCAUGAGGUCUCUACUCCACCAUGACUGGUACCUAUUGACGUCUCUAUCACCAUGACUGGUACCUAUUGACAUGUCUCUACUCACCACCUGACUGGUACCUAUGGCAUGAUGUCUCUACUCACCAUGACUGGUACCUAUUGACAUGAUGUCUCUCCCUACUCACCAUGACUGUACCUAUUGACAUGAUGUCUCUACUCACCAUGACUGGUACCUAUUGACAUGAGGUCUCUAUCACCAUGACUGGUACCUAUGAUGCUCUACUCCCAUGACUGGUACCCUUGACAUGAUGUCUCUAUUCACCAUGACUGGUACCAUUGACUGAGGUCUCUACUCACCAUGACUGGUACCUAUUGACUGAGGGUCUACUCACCAUGACUGGUACCUAUUGACUGAUGUCUCUACUCACCAUGACUGGUACCUAUUGACAUGGGGUCUCUACUCACCAUGACUGGUACCUAUUGACAUGAGGUCUCUACUCCACCAUGACUGGUACCUAUUGACUGUCUCUAUUCACCCUGACUGUACCUAUUGACAUGUCUCUACUACCCGCUGGUACCUUGGCUCAUGAUGUCUCUACACCAUGACUGGUACCUAUUGACAUUAUGUCUCUCUACUCACCAGACUGGUACCUAUUGACAUUGUCUCUACUCACCAUGACUGUACCUAUUGACAUGAGGUCUCUACUCACCAUGACUGGUACCUAUUGACAUGAGGUCUCUACUCACCAUGACUGGUACCUAUUGGCAUGAGGUCCUACUCACCAUGACUUGUACUAUUGACUGUCUCUAUUCACCAUGACUGGUACCUAUUGACAUGUCUCUACUCACCCUGACUGGUACCUAUUGGCAUGAUGUCUCUACUCACCAUGACUGGUACCUAUUGACAUGAUGUCUCUCCUACUCACCCUGGACUGGUUACCUAUUGACAUGAUGUCUUCUUACACCA
rnacentral:lncRNA from 1 species